rnacentral:lncRNA from 1 species
GGGGGGACUUCCGGUCACGAAGGCUGGGAUCCGCGGCCUGGAGCUGUGGGGCAGUAAAGUCCGCACCGCCAGGGCCACCGGGUACCUUGGGCUUGGUGACGGCGGUUGCUGCCCUUUAUUUCUCGGGUCACUACUGGACGUUACGCGGCAGCCAUUUCCUUCGUGUUGGCCUGAGGCCUCGGCCCCAGGGCAGCCAUGGGUUCCAGGUGGUGCUGAAAGCAGGAGCAGUGGGGCAUGGCUAUAGCCCUGCAAGUCCUGCGUCACUUCGCCCGGGCCCCCUCGCGCCCACUCCUCUGGGGGUGCCCAUUGACCCGGCUGGCCAGUGGCAUGGCCCUGGAAGAGCAGGCACGGCAAAUAUUUGAGAGCACCGUGGGUGCCAUGCUGCCAGGUCCCAUGCUGCAGCGGGCACUGUCCUUGGAUCCUGACAGUGGGCAGCUGAAAGUGCGGGACCGGAGCUUUCAGCUGCGGCAGAACCUCUACCUGGUGGGCUUUGGCAAGGCUGUGCUGGGCAUGGCAGCUGCAGCUGAGGAGCUACUAGGCCAGCAUCUCGUGCAGGGAGUGAUCAGCGUGCCCAGGGGGAUCCGUGCUGCCAUGGAGCAUGCUGGCAAACAAGAGAUGCUGCUGAAGCCCCACAGCCGUGUCCAGGUAUUCGAGGGUGCGGAGGACAACCUCCCGGACCGGGAUGCACUGCGGGCCGCGCUGGCCAUCCGACAGCUGGCCGAAGGCCUCACAGCUGAUGACCUGCUGCUUGUACUCAUCUCAGGGUGGGGCACAUCUGCUGCACACGGGGCUGACGGGCACUGUCAUGGAUGCCCACCUCCUGUUCCUGCGGCCUCGGUGGCAUAG